rnacentral:lncRNA from 1 species
CUGGUAGAAAUGUAAAACAGUGCAACUGCUUUGGAAAAUAGUAUGGGAUCAUGAAGAGGUGUUUACACACCCAUGUUCGUUGCAGCAUUAUCCACAACAGUUUAGAGUUGGAAGCAACUCAAAGGCAGGUGAAAAGAUGAGUAAGAAAAUAUGUUACCUAUAUAGAGUGGAAUAUUAUUCAGCUUUGUAAAAGAAGGAAAUUUCUUAUCAUCCUACAAUGAAACUCUACUAAGCAAAAUGAGCCAGUCACAUGAAGCCAGAUAGUCCAAGAUUGCAUGUAGGUGAGGUAUUUAAAGCAGACAAACUCACAGAGACAGAAAUUAGAAUGUUGCUUGCCAGAGGAUGAGGGGAGGGAGAACUGGGAGUUGUUCAAUUGAUAGAAGUUUCAAGUUGCAAGAUGAAAACGUGGGUUGCACAGCCACAUGCACAUAAAGAACACUCCGGAACUACUUAACAAUGGUGGAGAUGGCAAGUUUCCUCUGUGAUUAUUUAAUCACAGUGAGAAAUAGACACAGGAAGUGGUUGGACGUAAGGGAGGCAGGCACUGGUGUGUCACCAAAGUCCAUGAAGACAGCGACCAC